CCCUUAGAUGUUCUGGGCUGCAUGCGCGCUACACUGAUGCAUUCAACGAGCCUAUCCUUGACCGACAGGUCCGGGUAAUCUUUGAAUCUGCAUCGUGACGGGGAUAGAUUAUUGCAAUUAUUAAUCUUCAACGAGGAAUGCCUAGUAGGCGCAAGUCAUCAGCUUGCGUCGAUUACGUCCCUGCCCUUUGUACACACCGCCCGUCGCUCCUACCGAUUGGGUGUGCUGGUGAAAUGUUCGGAUCGGCCGUUUGUCGCGGUUUCCGCGUCAUGUGGCUGAGAAGUUCAUUAAACCCUCCCACCUAGAGGAAGGAGAAGUCGUAACA
rnacentral:rRNA from 1 species